rnacentral:lncRNA from 1 species
AAAUAGGGACCUUCCCGGGGGGCUGCCCGGGAUUUCUCUGCAGAAACCCCCAGUUUAAGAAGGCCUCUCCCCUACCCUGAGGUUGUGGAGGCGGUUGGGACCUCAAAGCGGAGAAUUGGGGGAGCUUGUGGGGCAGAACCGAGGAAAAACCUGCCGAACGGGAUUUAAUAGAAUUAAGCUCUUUUGGGGGCCAAGCGAUGUGCACGGGAUUUCAUUGAAAGACUCGGUCGCUUCGGCUUUCCGCCCCCCGCCCGCCUGGCCACGUGACAGUCCUACUUAUUUUUAAAAAUUAAAUGGCGCAUGUUUUACAGCGUCCUUAAUUACGACUAGUGCAGCCUAGUGGCGAGAGGAGGAGAAAACCUGCCGCCCGGGCUCCCUGCGAAGUCCUCGGUUGCUUUCUAGCAGUUUCGACCCAGCUGGCACAGAUAAAGCGCGUGCAAAGACUUAACGCUGGAUACUGUCACCAACAAUUAAAGAGGGCCGUGGCGACCUCAGUUAAAAAGUCGUGUUUUUAAAAGCCCUGAUCCAGAGCUCGUUACAAAUGAAUACAACGUUUCCAUUGACAGUGGACAAAAAAGGAGACCCUACAGUUACAAAAGCUUUGUGAAACUAACAGCACUUUUUUGUUUUAGCUGGAUAAACAUGCUGUGGGUGUGUUUUUUCAGUGGCACCUCACGAUUUUUCACUUGAUGUGAUUUUUUUUUUAAAAGACUCAUCAGGCCAACGUGGUGAUUUCUAAAACUGCCAGCUGCUCGCUAUUUCCUGUUGCAAAUUAGGAGAAAAACAAAGCACGUAUUAUCUGAACCUAGGCACAGUUGAGAAUGUGCUAGCAGAAUAUUACUCAAAACAUUCUACUUUUAAGUUUGCCCAGAAACAAAUUAACUUUACAAAAGAAUCAGUAAGUAGAAAUUACUAAAUGAGAACUUUUUUUUUCUUUUUCUUUCUUUUUUUUUUUAACUGAAGUCUUCAGGAUGAGGUGGUUUCAUUGGGCAAUUCGUAUUUAGUGGUGAUUAAUACGUCGCUGUAGACAUGUAUUGUGAAGGGCAAGAUCCAACAUGUCCCUGAAGAACCCUUUGUGCCUGUAUUUAAUUUUCCAGAAGGCACACAGCAAGUAAACAUCAUCUUCCUGCUUAGGUAUUUAUUAUUGCUGAGUAGAUCUUCAUUGUGUCUGUGUUUGGGUAGUAUUUUCCAAGUGGGAAUUGAAACACAUGAAAACCCACCGUGUUUCUAUGAUUUUUUUUCCCAAAGUAUCAAACAAAUAUGCUACUCUUUUAGAUGGUUUCACCCCUCCUUUUAAACUUUAGUUGAGUAUUUCCGAACAAGAUUUUGUUAACAAACAUAAACAAGGAAACAGUAAUUUCUCUUUAUAUGUUAAGUACAGAUAGCCUCUAUUAAUUUAGUUCUAUUUAGUAAGUCUAAGUUUUUCCUUAUCCAAAUAAUAACUUCCACAUUUAUGAAACAAGGAUGAAGACUUAUUUUUGUGUUAUUUGAAUGGCUACUUUGCAUUUGAUUUGGCUUCUCAGUUAUCCAAGCUGCUGUUACAGGGGUUUCUCCUCAGUAACUGCUUUCCUGCCUAUGUUAGGUUGAGUGUUUUGAAUUGGUAAAUUAUGGUGGAAGUGUAACCAAAAGCUUGGUCCCUGUCCCCAAUGCCAACCAAUACCAAUUUAAUAAUGAGGACACAAUUUUGAGAAAAAAGGUAAAAGAAGGUUUAUUGCUUUACUAGCAAAGGAGAAACACAAGGGAAUCCUGUCCCAAAGGCUGUGACACUCCUGAUCAAGAGGGACAGGGGGGUUUUAAAGGAACUUUUCAAGAGUUACAUUCUAGUAGGGGGGUCCUAGGUCACCCAGUUAGCUUGUUAGAAUUCAUUUGUUAAUUUGGGAGAUGUUCAUUUCCCAGAUCUUCAGCAGGCUUCUCCUUCCUGUAGUGGGCUUGUUCAAGGGGAAGAAAAGAUAACACUGUCUCCCUAGUCUUGUUGGGGAGAGGGGAGAAGAGAGAAAGAAAUAUUUUUUUUAAAAAGUAAACCUUAGAGCAUUGAAGGCUAUAUUCACAAGGCGAAGGGGCCACUGUUACAGAAGACUCUAAGGAGAGAAACUGAGCUCUCUGUUACAGAGUCAUAUCUCAAAGCUGCAAAGAAAAAAACCUCAAGCAAACCUGCCCCCACGUUUGGCAGUGAAGGAGCUGAAAUGAACCAGGUAUACUGAUUUGAACAGUAUUAUUAUUAUUUUUAAUUAGAUUAAGAGGGAAACAUUUUAAGAUUUUGCCUAAUGACAAAUCCUUGUCCCCAAUUUUUUGUCCUGAAUAAAACUUUUUUUUUUUAAAGGG